rnacentral:rRNA from 1 species
UGGGGAAUAUUGCACAAUGGGCGCAAGCCUGAUGCAGCAACGCCGCGUGAACGAUGAAGGUCUUCGGAUCGUAAAGUUCUGUUGCAGGGGAAGAUAAUGACGGUACCCUGUGAGGAAGCCCCGGCUAACUACGUGCCAGCAGCCGCGGUAAUACGUAGGGGGCUAGCGUUAUCCGGAUUUACUGGGCGUAGAGGGUGCGUAGGUGGUCUUUCAAGUCGGUGGUUAAAGGCUACGGCUCAACCGUAGUUAGCCUCCGAAACUGGAAGACUUGAGUGCAGGAGAGGAAAGUGGAAUUCCCAGUGUAGCGGUGAAAUGCGUAGAUAUUGGGAGGAACACCAGUAGCGAAGGCGGCUUUCUGGACUGCAACUGACACUGAGGCACGAAAGCGUGGGUAGCAAACAGG